rnacentral:rRNA from 1 species
AUACGUAGGGUGCGAGCGUUAAUCGGAAUUACUGGGCGUAAAGCGUGCGCAGGCGGUCUUGCAAGACAGUGGUGAAAUCCCCGGGCUCAACCUGGGAACGGCCAUUGUGACUGCAAGGCUGGAGUACGGCAGAGGGGGAUGGAAUUCCGCGUGUAGCAGUGAAAUGCGUAGAUAUGCGGAGGAACACCGAUGGCGAAGGCAGUCCCCUGGGCCUGUACUGACGCUCAUGCACGAAAGCGUGGGGAGCAAACAGGAUUAGAUACCCUGGUAGUCCACGCCCUAAACGAUGUCAACUGGUUGUUGGGGAUUUACUUCCUCAGUAACGAAGCUAACGCGUGAAGUUGACCGCCUGGGGAGUACGGCCGCAAGGUUAAA